AUUGAACGCUGGCGGCAUGCUUUACACAUGCAAGUCGAACGGCAGCGCGGGCUUCGGCCUGGCGGCGAGUGGCGAACGGGUGAGUAAUGCAUCGGAACGUGCCCAGUAGUGGGGGAUAGCCCGGCGAAAGCCGGAUUAAUACCGCAUACGACCUGAGGGUGAAAGCGGGGGACCGAAAGGCCUCGCGCUAUUGGAGCGGCCGAUGUCGGAUUAGCUAGUUGGUGGGGUAAAGGCUUACCAAGGCGACGAUCCGUAGCUGGUCUGAGAGGACGACCAGCCACACUGGGACUGAGACACGGCCCAGACUCCUACGGGAGGCAGCAGUGGGGAAUUUUAGACAAUGGGGGCAACCCUGAUCCAGCCAUGCCGCGUGCGGGAAGAAGGCCUUCGGGUUGUAAACCGCUUUUGUUCGGGAAGAAAUCCUCUGGGCUAAUACCCCGGGGGGAUGACGGUACCGGAAGAAUAAGCACCGGCUAACUACGUG
rnacentral:rRNA from 1 species